rfam:Kockovaella imperatae strain NRRL Y-17943 BD324scaffold_14, whole genome shotgun sequence.
GGAGUUGUGGCCGAGCGGUCUAAGGCGCCGUCUUAAGGUUAUGUCUUCAUAAUCGGCGGUCUUCGGACGUGGGUUCGAAUCCCACCGACUUCA